rnacentral:lncRNA from 1 species
AUUGUAUAGGCAAAAUCUGCAGUAUGUUCUUCGUUAGGUUUGGAACAGAUGGUUGGAUACCAGAGUCUGCCACCUUAUACAACGAUGGCUACCCUCCUAUAACAUUCAACUUCAACUACUUGAUUCCUUUCGGCGUUCCCUCUGGCAUCUAUAAUUGCAAUAAAUAAGUUUUUAUGUUAAUUCGUAAGUUCUCACUAAUGAAAAUUGUAUCAUUGAUCAGAAGUUGUUUUUUCAUAAACUACAUUGAUAAGCUUAUGAAUCAUUUAUCUCGCGAUUCAUCAAAGAAUGAUAGCUAAUGAGUUUCUGCAUUUAUUUAGCGUCAAAUAACACAUAUUGCUUUCGAUAAACCGAUGACAAUGUUGAUUUGCUGUAUUUUUUUCUCAAUCAAACCAUUCAGCCCGUGUAAUUAUUUUUCUUCAACUUUGGUUAUUGUUGUUAAAUUAUGAGAGUUGAAUAUUAUUGUUUUUGAAUUGUGAGAGUUACGGAAACAUCUUAUAACAUGUACAUGAAGUAUAUUUCCAGCUUGGUUUGCAUAAGUUUUUCACAAUAGACUAAUAUGAAAACAGAUUAAAACUAAUAUGAAAAUACACAUAUCUUAUAUACUCCAUAUGUGACUGUAUAUGCGAAAUAUGCAAUAUGCACUUCGUUAGGGUUGGAUGCCAGAGUGCCACCUUAUACUACCGUGACUAUCCUCCUCCUGUCACCUUCAACUUCAACUUCAACUCGUUCGUUCAUUCCUUUAGGUGUUCCCUCUGGCGCCGAUUAUUGUCAAAGGUCAAAUCUUCAAUAAGCAUAUAGAAACCGCAUAAUACGUAUUAGGGCUAGCUAGGUUGGCUCAAAUAAGAUAGCUUUUAAUUGCUGUUUGUUUUUACCAGCUAAUAACUAAGAAAUAAACAUAUUUCUUUAUAAAAAAUGAAUGAUCAAGUUAAAUUAAUAUCUUAUUUUUAAUUAUGAGAUUAAUAUUUGUCUCUUAAACUACACAUAUGGACACUAAUUUUAGUUAAUUGCAUAGAACUAGAAUAUUUUUAAUAUAACAAAUUUUAGUAUCAUCUCUGUUCUCACUACUAGAAAAAGCAAAAUUAGCGAGGGAAAUUAGUGACGGAAAAAAUGAAAUUCUUCACAAAUUCCUUGGUCGCAAAAUUUAGUGACGGAAUUAGAGAGAGAUUUUACGUUUUCCUUCACUAAUUUUUGUUUUUUUAGUAGUGUCUUCUCACAUCGUGCUAUACCUUCAUCAAAAAAAUACAACUAAUUAUACUUGUUUAACAAAAAAAAUUGGUCGGACCAUACAUUAGUCAGAAACGAGUUUUGGAUAUUGUGAGAGUGUUGUUUGGAAAAGGUUUAGGCUAGGAAAGACUUGAUGUUUAAGUGGUUUAUUGUGAGACUGACCUCCCUUUCUUGGGAACUUAUCUAAUAAUACACAAACAAAUUACAGCUUGUUUACAGCGGCAACGUCAAAUUUCUCAAGUGUAGUGAAACUUUUUUCCUUUUUUGACGAAAGUGGUGGUGAUAUAGUAUGAGUUAUACAAAGAUAUUGAGAGGAAAUAUUUUCAACAUGAACAACGAUAAAUGAGAGAAACUAGAUUUUGAGAGCUUUGAGUACAAUUCAC